rnacentral:lncRNA from 1 species
AAAAUCAUAUGUUAGCUUCUCAGUUGUUGUUAUUUAUUGAUUUAGCCACUGAAUUAUUAUUAUAAUGAUCAUAAAUAACAAUAGCUCGGUGGCUGAAUCAAGAAAUUGGUGAAAAGUACACUUUUUUUUGUAUUGGACAGAUAAAAAAUGGGUAAAUUUAAGAAACUUAGUUUUAAAGAAACAAUUUAAAGCAUUAAUUUUUGUAUAUUUUUGGUCAAGGAAAGUCUCUUGCUCCAAUACCCGAGCUAGAAGAAGAAGAAGAAGAAGAAGAAGAAGAAGAAGAAGAAGAAGAAGAAGAAGAAGAAGAAGAUAAUGAAGAAGAUGAACAGUCUACUUCAGUAGAAAUAGCAGAAAAUGAUAUUGAUGACACAAAGGGACAUGAGCCCGAUACUGCGGUAAGCAAUCUUGAAAAUGUGGAAAUUACCAUUACGCC